rnacentral:rRNA from 1 species
UACGUAGGGGGCGAGCGUUUGUCCGGAAUCAUUGGGCGUAAAGCGCGUGUAGGCGGCCCGGUAAGUCCGCUGUGAAAGUCCAGGGCUCAACCCUGGGAUGCCGGUGGAUACUGUCGGGCUCGAGUCCGGAAGAGGCGGAGUGGAAUUCCUGGUGUAGCGGUGAAAUGCGCAGAUAUCAGGAGGAACACCAAUGGCGAAGGCAGCUCGCUGGGACGUGACUGACGCUGAGACGCGAAAGCGUGGGGAGCAAACAGG